rnacentral:lncRNA from 1 species
GCCACCCUGGGCAGGCAGUGGAAGGUGGGGCCGCGCUGCCUCUGGUGCGCAGAGGCAGAGGCCGCCAUUGACCACCGAAUCGGCUUGGCUAGAACUCAAAGCCUUGUGCCUGGCUGUCAGUCCCUACCUCACCACGUUGACACAGACUGUGUGGCUUUCAGUGUACCUUUCCACGUAUUUUCCUGUCCAGUCAGAUGAGGAGAGGGAACAGUCUGAGAGAACCACGAAACUGCCAAACCCAGUGGGCCCGAAUAUUCCUUCAAGAUUUCAAGAAAGCCGACCUUGAGGACGGCCACGGGGCCAACUGCAGUAUGGACAAGUCGUUCUUGUAGUUGCACAGAUGGCCAUUGACAAAAACAGCCCUGCUUGGGUGACUCCUGAGCCCUGAUACCCGAAUGAGUAUGAUCAAGCGGUGAUGGACCUGGAUCCGGCUGUGGGAGUGUCCUGAUGAGCCCUGGGCCAGCGGAGAAUUCCUGGGCGUUUCCAAGAUGGCCGAAUAGGAACAGCUCCAGUCUAUGGCUCCCAGCAUGAGCGACGCAGAAGAUGGGUGAUUUCUGCAUUUCCAACUGAG